UGACAGAGGCCAUCAGCUUACCUCAUCAGAGCCUCUCCAGAGACCGACCAUGGAGGUUGCCUCAUCAAUCCCCGCCAUGGAGGUCGCCGUAUCAGCAGUUGCAAGUGAACUUGUGAGCCGGUUCAUCUCCUUCCUGAUGAGCAAGUACCACUCCUCCAGCCAGGCACAAUCAGAGAACAAGAUGGUGGAGGGGUUGCAACAUCUCCUGAUCAGAGUUGGCACCAUCGUUGAGGAGGCAGAUGCUCGAUACAUAACCAACUUCGGGAUGAUGAUGCAGCUCAAGAUGCUCUCGGAGGCCAUGUACCGAGGUCACAGCCUCCUCGAUACCUUGAGGUAUGGGGCCCUCCAAGACGGUGCAAGCUUUGACGAGGUUAGCAACAGCAACUCAUCUAGCAGCAGUUUGUAUUUACCAAAUCCACUCAAGCGUUGUCGAACAACAGCAGAGAAAGGCAACAAGGCCAUGGGCCUGGAUUCACAUGGUGCUUUGGAAAGCUUAGAAAUUGCUGUAGCAAACAUGUCAGAGUUUGUUGUGCUUCUGGCUGGAUGUGAGCGCAUGUCCCGUAGGCCAUAUGAUGUUUAUCUUUACACCGACAACUUCAUGUUCAGUUCAGCGGACACGCUGAAAAGCAAAAGCUCUUGAGCUUCUUGUUGGAGCAAAAUGAUCCUUCAGGUGAUCACACAUUGGCCAUUCUUCCGAUUAUAGGUGGUGUCGCAGUUGGGAAGAAAACUUUGGUUGCUCAUGUGUGUGGCAAUGAAAGGGUUCGCUCACGCUUCUCCUCUAUUUUGCACUUGAAUGGAGACAACCUUUUGGGGAUACAUGACAAUGGAAGGGACAUGUUUGGGAUAAUGUUGGUAGUUAUUGAGUUUGCUUCUGAUGUAGGUGAAGAUGACUGGAAAAAAUUUCACUCAUUUCUCACAAGAAUUGGCAGAGGAAGUAAGAUCAUCAUUGUAAGUAAAAUUAAAAGAAUAGCCCGGUUUGGAACGGUGAAAGAAAUUUCACUAAGUGGGUUAUCUCAUGAUGAGUUGAGGUACCUUUUCAAAGCACUCGCAUUCGGAAGCGUAGAGCCAACAGAACAUCCGCGGCUAGUACAGAUAGCAGAUGACUUUGCCACAGUGAUCCACAAUUCGCUAGUUUCACUUGUCGCAACAAAUAUGUUCACGGAUGUGUUGAGAAGCAACCUCAAUGUUCAGUUUUGGCGUUGUAUAUUGGACAAGGCGGCAAGAAUGGUUAAGAGAAACAUUUCAAUAUAUGGGGUGAACCCAACCAUGCGUAUAGAACAAGGUCGCCAAGUGGACAUAACAGAUAUUGCUUUGCAUCCACUUAGCUUAAAAUUUUAUAGUGUUAAUGCUUCAAUCAAGACGGAAUUGCCAAGUGUGACAUUUGGGAAACUUAUAAAAGAUCCUAGUGUUAGGCCGAAAGGAGACUUCAUUCUAAUGGCAUGGGAAUCAAGGAUAUCCCCUUAUAAAUUAUUUCCUAGUUAUGUUACAAGUCAUGCUCAGGAUACAGAUCAAAGUAGUGCCUUGCCAGGGAGGAAGCGACAAGGUGUGCCAAUCUAAUCUCCCUUUGGAACUUGUGUAUAUGUAACUCUUCUUGUAAUUUUUGAUAAAUGAUAGUUCAAAUGUAUACCAUUCAACUAAAUGUUUACAGAUCUUUCCCUAAAAAAAUGUAUUACAGAUCUCAAUUAACCUCUCCUUGUUUUCUUAGAUA